GACGAACGCUGGCGGCGUGCCUAAUACAUGCAAGUCGAACGCAGUGGGGACGGGUGAGUAACACGUGGGUAACCUCCCAUCAGAGGGGAUAACACUUGGAAACAGGUGCUAAACCGAUACUGAUGGAUGGACCCGCGGUGCAUUAGCUCAUUGGUGAGGUAACGGCUCACCAAGGCAACGAUGCAUAGCCGACGUAGAGUGCGACUCCCCCCCCCUGGGACUGAGACACGGCCCAUACUCCUCCUCUCUUCUGCCUUUUCUCCUCUUCCCACUUUAACGAAAGUCUGACCGAGCAACGCCGCGUGAGUGAAAACUUUUUUCUGAUCAUCACACUCUGUUGUUAGAGAAGCGGUAUCUAACCAGAAAGCCACGGCUAACUACGUGCCAGCAGCCGCGGUAAUAC
rnacentral:rRNA from 1 species